AGAGUUGAUCAUGGCUCAGGAUAAACGCUGGCGGCGUGCUUAACACAUGCAAGUCGAACGGAGUAAUCUCCCGAAAAUUGAAGAAGCUUGCUUACUGAAAGAUUCAGUUGAAUUACUAGUGGCGGACGGGUGAGUAACGCGUGGGAAACCUGCCCUAUACUGGGGGAUAGCAGUUGGAAACGACUGAUAAUACCGCAUAAGCGCACAGCUUCGCAUGAAGCAGUGUGAAAAACUCCGGUGGUAUAGGAUGGUCCCGCGUCUGAUUAGCUAGUUGGUGAGGUAACGGCCCACCAAGGCGACGAUCAGUAGCCGGCCUGAGAGGGUGUACGGCCACAUUGGGACUGAGACACGGCCCAAACUCCUACGGGAGGCAGCAGUGGGGAAUAUUGGACAAUGGGGGGAACCCUGAUCCCAGCGACGCCGCGUGAACGAAGAAGUAUUUCGGUGUGUAAAGUUCUAUCAGCAGGGAAGAUAAUGACGGUACCUGACUAAGAAGCACCGGCUAAAUACGUGCCAGCCGCAGC
rnacentral:rRNA from 1 species